UUAAAGAGUUCUAUAACUCCCAAACCCAUGUGAACAUACCUAACGUUGCCUCGGCAGGUCGCACCUACCUUGUAGCACCCUACCCUGUAGGGCCUACCCGGGAGGUGCGGGUAAGCCUGCCGGCGGCCCACCAAACUCUGUUUGAUAUUGAAUUCUGAACCUAUAACUAAAUAAGUUAAAACUUUCAACAACGGAUCUCUUGGUUCUGGCAUCGAUGAAGAACGCAGCGAAAUGCGAUAAGUAAUGUGAAUUGCAGAAUUCAGUGAAUCAUCGAAUCUUUGAACGCAUAUUGCGCCCAUUAGUAUUCUAGUGGGCAGGACCGUUCGAGCGUCAUUUCAACCCUUAAGCCUUCGUUGCUUAGUGUUGGGAGCCUACGGCAACGUAGCUCCUCAAAGUUAGUGGCGGAGUUGGUUCACACUCUAGACGUAGUAAUUUUUUAUCUCGCCUAUUAGUUGGACUAAUCCCCUGCCGUAAAACCCCCAAUUUAUCAAGGUUGACCUCGAAUCGGUUCAGACAAACUCGCUAAAUUGAAGCAUCUUAGUCAGCGAAGGAAAAGAAACCAACAGGGAUUGCCCUAGUAACGGCGAGUGAAGCGGCAACAGCUCAAAUUUGAAAUCUGGCCC
rnacentral:rRNA from 1 species